AGCGCUCCGGGCGCUGGACCGUACUUGGGACUCUAGAGGGCUGCGUCCGGACAGAGAAGCUGGGUGGCGAUCUGUGGGUCACUCCUGGAGGUGUCUCUACCCGGAGCUGGAGAAAUGGGCUCCAAGGCCAGCUUCUCGGACGAGCGCCAGCCUGAGAUGGAAGUUUGCUAGCGCUCUAGACACCGCGCUGACCCGGAGCCGAAUCUUUAUCUUGGCUGGAAAGGCUGAUUUCGACCGCCAAGCGCCAGUCCAACGUGGGCCAGAGAAACCGAGACCUCCUUCACUGUGCUAGGCUCUACAGCAGAUGCAGGAGUCCAUGGUUGCUUUCCAGACUCCACUGCCUCAUCCACACCCCUUUCAGCCAAGAAGUAAAAUGUGGAUCAAGAGACAUCCAGCUGAGAGGACCACAUCUGGUCAUCCUGACCACCCUAGUUGCUGUCAAGGGUCUUCCUGAUGCUCCUUGUGUCUUUGGAAAAAGAUGCUUGAAGAUUUCAAUCAG
rnacentral:lncRNA from 1 species